UACCAGCACCCCGAGUGGUCGGGACGAUUAUUGGGCCUAAAGCAUCCGUAGCCGGUCUUGCAAGUCUUCCGUUAAAUCCAGCUGCUUAACAGAUGGGCUGCGGAAGAUACUACAAGACUAGGAGGUGGGAGAGGCAAGCGGUACUCAGUGGGUAGGGGUAAAAUCCUCUGAUCCAUUGAAGACCACCAGUGGCGAAGGCGGCUUGCCAGAACGCGCUCGACGGUGAGGGAUGAAAGCUGGGG
rnacentral:rRNA from 1 species